rnacentral:rRNA from 1 species
UACGUAGGGGGCUAGCGUUGUCCGGAUUUAUCGGGCGUAAAGAGCGUGUAGGCGGCCAGGUAGGUCUGGUGUGAAAACUCGAGGCUUAACCUCGAGAUGUCAUCGGAAACCAUCUGGUUAGAGUCCGGAAGAGGAGAGUGGAAUUCCUGGUGUAGCGGUGAAAUGCGCAGAUAUCAGGAAGAACACCAAUGGCGAAAGCAGCUCUCUGGGACGGUACUGACGCUGAGACGCGAAAGCGUGGGGAGCGAACAGG